rnacentral:tRNA from 1 species
AGGGCAGUAGCUCAGUGGUAGAGCUCCCGCUUCUUAUGCAGGAACACUUGGGUUCGAUUACCGGCUGCUUAC